GACGAACGCUGGCGGCGUGCCUAAUACAUGCAAGUCGAACGCUUCCUACCGGUGCUUGCACUGGGAAAGAAGAGUGGCGGACGGGUGAGUAACACGUGGGUAACCUACCUACAAGCGGGGGAUAACAUUCGGAAACGGAUGCUAAUACCGCAUAGAUCUUUUUGUCUCCUGGCAGAAAGAAGAAAGACGGUUUCGGCUGUCACUUGUAGAUGGACCCGCGGCGCAUUAGUUAGUUGGUGAGGUAAUGGCUCACCAAGACGAUGAUGCGUAGCCGACCUGAGAGGGUGAUCGGCCACACUGGGACUGAGACACGGCCCAGACUCCUACGGGAGGCAGCAGUAGGGAAUCUUCCGCAGUGGACGAAAGUCUGACGGAGCAACGCCGCGUGAGUGAAGAAGGUUUUCGGAUCGUAAAACUCUGUUGUUAGAGAAGAACAAGGAUGAGAGUAACUGCUCGUCCCUUGACGGUAUCUAACCAGAAAGCCAUGGCUAACUACGUGCCAGCCGCCGCAGUAA
rnacentral:rRNA from 1 species